rnacentral:lncRNA from 1 species
CAUUUUGGAAUGUGGCAUUCCUCCCCUCUCUACCAUCUGUGGAUCGAUCCUCCCUCGACUCUCUCCUUGUGGUCUUCCUUUUUACAUUCUGUUCUUUCCCUUGGUUGUGGGCUGCUCCAGCUUGUUUUGUUGCGUUGGGCACGCCAAAUACUGUAGUGGGACUACUGGCUUAUUUUUUACUACUCUGGAUAUUGAUUAAUUAGGAUCCCCAUUAGCGACAGCUAACCUUACUGGGGUCCGACACAACUAAAAAUACAUUAGACCAAAAAAAUACUUUACAAUUGUUACACACGCCUCUUGGAAGAGGGAACGCAACACCCAACUCCCCGUGGAGUGAAAGAGGUAUGGGAUUGCAGGUGUGGAUAAGGAUGACAAAGGCAGAGAAUUUUACCGUUAACAGGGAAUUUAUUUCUUCACGCGGUAAUUCUGGGAAAAAAGGGGCUGGACGGAACCAAAGCAAAGAAAGUAAAAGUUAAAAGAGCCCCCUCUCCUACCUUACAUACCCACAACUUAUCUAUUAACGCCAUCUGGCGUGCUAACCAAAAUACAGGGGGUGUUCCACCCAGGUCUUAGCUAGUGUGUAUAGACAGAGUACAUACUACGGGUAUAUGUAUGCCCGCAGGCCUCUUGCCUAAGCACUCCCAAGGUGCGGUCCCCUUCCCCCCUGGGAACAAAUAAAACAGAAUAAUACAAACAAAUUCAAUAAUCAAAACAGUCCUUUUGACAUAAACAUACCGCCGCAGGACCAGCUACAAAAUACUUUACAAAAAGUGUCUGAGCAACAACCAACAGAACCUCAAAGAAGCUCUCCCUGAGCAACAAACAAUACUGUGGCAUACCCAGAAGCUAUUUCCUCCUAACAAAGGAACUCUGGCUUUUAAGCUGCAGAAGGAGUCUAAUUGAAGACAGCUGUAUCCUUUGACGAGAGGGCGGGGUCAGAGCUCCAAUUAUCGAUGGGGCCGACCAAUCAGCUGCUUAGGACUUCAGGAAGCCAUUUCCUAAAAUACACACACAGACACAUAAAAAUCCACAACAACACAGAAACUGGGGAACGUACCACAAUUUACAUACAUUUAAAAACAUGUAAUGUGUGUGCAUCUAUCAGUUACACAUGUCAGUACAUACACACAAGUAGGUCACAUGGGGCUAAAGAGGAAAUUGAAGCCCAGAUGGAAAUCGAGGCUAAAAAGGAUGCCAUAGAUGAGAAGACGGUCCUUGACGUCAUCUCUGGAGAUUUAUCUGCCCCCGACUCUGUCAUCUCAGAACUGCAGUGUCACACGCAGCUCGCCGCCCCCAAGGAUAUCCCAGCAGAGGCCGUGCUGAAUGGACAGAUGGCAGCUGAGGUGGCCAUUGAGGGAUAGAUCUCUAUGGAUUUCCUCAGUCAGUAUGAAGGACUGAAGAGAGCCUGACGGUGAGCCGACCAGCGAACUUUACUUUUCAUUUUUUAGGGCUUAAAGGGACCGCUGGGAAAUUUGACAGACAUCCAACAAUCAGUGCCUUUCUUGCUUGGGUUCUUACAAAAAAAAUAUUAAACAAGUUUAAAAUGCGAUAUGAAGGUGGGGGAAUAAGACUCUUUUUUUAAAACCAGAAUGUGACAAUUUGGAAUAAACAAAUGAUGGCUUUCAUAGAUUUCUGUAUCCCAUUGCAUGUAUUGUAGAUUUGCAUCAAUUGUAAAUGGCAUGCAUUGUGUAUGAAUACUGUAGAAUUGAUGAAUGUGGCAAUGGCUUGUCUUCACAUUUGGACCAUGUUUGUAUGGAUGAGAGGGAUUAAUUCCUUGUACACGUUUCCUGUUUUAACCUGGUUUGACUCCUUUUUGCGAAGGGACAGUAUCGCAGUUUGUACAGUACCAUAGCUACCCCCUCUUCUCCCUAUCACCAUUGUGGUACUUUUGUUUUUUCAGGGACUGUAUGAUGACAGCUCCACCCUCUUUAUUGUGUAGUGUCAGUGUGUCUACAGUCCCAAGUCUGUCCUGGGCAAUGUGAAAUGGUGUGUAGUUUUAGGUCCUCUGACCAGAUGCUCUUAACAUUUAAUUACCUACGCUGCCAACUGAAAACAGAGUACGGGGCCUGUAGAUCCUGUUUUUCUUUUCUAAUUCUGUUUUCAUAGACCAUAUGAUGUGGUACAACCGCUGUUUGUGUUCUGUUACGUGCUUUGGAAGAGACAAUGGAGUUGUCAUGUAAUUGAGGAGCUGGGUUGGAUUUCAUUCACCUUUUUGAAUAAAGAUGUUCCUCACCAAGUCC